GUCUACGGCCAUACCACCCUGAACGCGCCCGAUCUUGUCUGAUCUCGGAAGCUAAGCAGGGUCGGGCCUGGUUAGUACUUGGAUGGGAGAGAGAGAAAAAGCAUGACUUUAAAUA
rnacentral:rRNA from 1 species